rnacentral:rRNA from 1 species
GGAGUUUGGGCCGUGUCUCAGUCCCAAUGUGGCCGGUCGCCCUCUCAGGCCGGCUACGGAUCAUCACCUUGGUAGGCCGUUACCCUGCCAACAAGUUAAUCCGACGCGGGCCCAUCCUGCACCGAUAAAUCUUUCCACCCGGCACCAUGCGGUGCUGUGUGCAUAUGCGGUAUUAACAGUCGUUUCCAACUGUUAUCCCCCUCCGAUGGGCAGGUUGCAUACGUGUUACUCACCAGUGCGCCGGUCGCCGGCGGCGUGUUGCCACGCCCCGACUGCCCCUCGACUUGCAUGUGUUAAGCCUGUCGCUAGCGUUCAUC